rnacentral:rRNA from 1 species
UACGGAGGGGGUUAGCGUUGUUCGGAAUUACUGGGCGUAAAGCGCGCGUAGGCGGACCAGAAAGUUGGGGGUGAAAUCCCGGGGCUCAACCCCGGAACGGCCUCCAAAACUCCUGGUCUUGAGUUCGAGAGAGGUGAGUGGAAUUCCGAGUGUAGAGGUGAAAUUCGUAGAUAUUCGGAGGAACACCAGUGGCGAAGGCGGCUCACUGGCUCGAUACUGACGCUGAGGUGCGAAAGUGUAGGUAGCAAACAGG